AUUGAACGCUGGCGGCAUGCCUUACACAUGCAAGUCGAACGGUAACGCGGGGCAACCUGGCGACGAGUGGCGAACGGGUGAGUAAUGCAUCGGAACGUGCCUGGUAGUGGGGGAUAACUGCUCGAAAGAGCAGCUAAUACCGCAUACGACCUGAGGGUGAAAGGGGGGGAUCGCAAGACCUCUCGCUAUCAGAGCGGCCGAUGUCGGAUUAGCUAGUUGGUGGGGUAAAGGCCCACCAAGGCAACGAUCCGUAGCUGGUCUGAGAGGACGACCAGCCACACUGGGACUGAGACACGGCCCAGACUCCUACGGGAGGCAGCAGUGGGGAAUUUUGGACAAUGGACGCAAGUCUGAUCCAGCCAUGCCGCGUGCGGGAAGAAGGCCUUCGGGUUGUAAACCGCUUUUGUCAGGGAAGAAAUCUUCUGGGUUAAUACCUCGGGAGGAUGACGGUACCUGAAGAAUAAGCACCGGCUAACUACGUGCCAGCCGCCGCGGUAAGAC
rnacentral:rRNA from 1 species